AAAAAAAAAAAAUGUUGUACUGGUAUAUUUGCGAUGGUCACGCUAAAGUGUGUUGGUCUACACUAAAGUACUAUGGUGAAUCAUGCUAAAGUGCGAUGGCUGUUUGUUCGCUAAAGUACAAUGGUUUAUCACGCUAAAGUGCGAUGGACUGAAAGGGUAAUGUUAAAGGGCUUAAAGUAUUAAAGAACACAGAUUUAAAAAAUAGUCUUCUUGUGAAAACUAGUACAAGGUUUUAUGACAUAUUUGAUAGGCUUUAUAAUUACCGAUAGGCUUAAGUGAUCAUUGUUUUAAAUUAAUAAGAACGACCACGUAAUUAUUGCUAAAAUGGUAAUUUAGGUGUGACAAAAAUUUAUAUAUCCUGUAUAUGUUUUUUUUAAUUCAGGCUGGUAUCGCAUAUUUGGAUAUUUGGUUUACUUUGCCGUUCACACAGUCUAUCACUAAUGUGAACAUCUCCUCUCAAAGUCGUCAUUGUAAAUUACAAAUACAAAAUUCGUUCUAAUUUUUUAGCAGACAAUUUAUGAUUUACGCAUGGAAACAUGACGUACCUUUAUUUUACCGACUUUACUUUUCAUUAAAAUCAAUAUUUGAACGGGGACGGCAAAGUAAACUGCAACAUAAACAAUGAUUUCAAUGUAUCCGUUAGCUUCAAAUAGAAACAGGAUAAAGGAUAUUUAUAAUGCGUAUACUUUUGUAUAGUAAGAUGGUCGACUGCAGGACAAAAGUCCUUCUUCUAGCACCGAAAAAACCCACAUUUGCUUAAGCCGACAAAACACAGUUAUCAUGUAAUCAAAUAUUCUACAUUUAUCUUUCGACAUGUUCAUUUUUUGUUUGUAUAAAAGUUUGUUCACGUCAUAAUCCAUAGUAUGUUUAUUACGUCUAAUACUUUCGCGGACCAUCGCACUUUAGCGUGUGUAGGCAUUGUACGUUAGUGUAGACCAUCGCACUUUAGCGUGUCCAUCGUACUUUAGCGUCCCUAUCACACUUUAGAGUCCUACAUAUUAAAUAAACAAAAAAUCUGAACAAUAAUGUGUAAAAUAAAUUUCUAACAUUGCACCAUCUCCAUCAAUAUAAUUGAUAUGAAAGACAUCUAUAUUAAGUACAUUAAAAUUAGACGUUUUCCAAAAAAUGGAAAUACAUGACACCA
rnacentral:lncRNA from 1 species